AUAGGUUGGAUGUGGAAGCAUAGUGAUAUGUGAAGCUGACCAAUACUAAUUGCUCGUGAGGCUUGACUAUACAACACCCAAACAGUUG
rnacentral:rRNA from 1 species